GACGAACGCUGGCGGCGUGCCUAAUACAUGCAAGUCGAACGCAGUGGGGACGGGUGAGUAACACGUGGGUAACCUCCCAUCAGAGGGGAUAACACUUGGAUACAGGUGCUAAACCGAUACUGGAGGAUGGACCCGCGGUGCAUUAGCUAGUUGGUGGGGUAACGGCCCACCAAGGCCACGAUGCAUAGCGGGCCUGAGAGGGUGAUCGGCCACACUGGGACUGAGACACGGCCCAGACUCCUACGGGAGGCAGCAGUAGGGAAUCUUGGGCAAUGGACGAAAGUCUGACCGAGCAACGCCGCGUGAGUGAAGAAGGUUUUCGGGUCGUAAAGCUCUUUUGUGGGGGAAGCGGUAUCUACCCAGAAAGCCACGGCUAACUACGUGCCAGCCGCCGCGGUAAUUC
rnacentral:rRNA from 1 species